UACUCGUAUUGUGGUGUAGCAAGAGGGC
rnacentral:piRNA from 1 species